CUGGCUCAGGAUGAACGCUAGCGGCAGGCUUAACACAUGCAAGUCGAGGGGCAUCGGGAGUAGCAAUACUGCCGGCGACCGGCGCAAGGGUGCGUAACGCGUGAGCAACAUGCCCGUAUCAGGGGGAUAAUCCAUGGAAACGUGGUCUAAUACCCCAUAGUAAUUAUGUAAGGCAUCUUAUAUAAUUUAAAGCUUUGGUGGAUACGGAUUGGCUCGCGUGACAUUAGCUAGAUGGUAAGGUAACGGCUUACCAUGGCUACGAUGUCUAGGGGUUCUGAGAGGAAGGUCCCCCACACUGGAACUGAGACACGGUCCAGACUCCUACGGGAGGCAGCAGUGAGGAAUAUUGGACAAUGGAUGGAAAUCUGAUCCAGCCAUGCCGCGUGCAAGGAAGACGGCCCUAUGGGUUGUAAACUGCUUUUGUAUGGGAGCAAUAAGGGCUACGCGUAGUCCGAUGAGAGUACCAUACGAAUAAGCACCGGCUAACUCCGUGCCAGCAGCCGC
rnacentral:rRNA from 1 species